GCUUUGAGCUAAAAAGCUUAGGAAAGUCGAUUGACGGGAGAAAAUUAAACGCUUGCAAGCAGAACCCCCGGCGGCCAGAAGGAGGCGUGGCACGUAGAUGGAAACGCACCGCCGGCUCGGGCGAGACCAAGCCCAAGGCUAAGGGCCGCGGCGGCAAGCCAAAGUCCGAAAAACCGCAGGCCGACGACGAGGAGCAACGCAAGCCCAAACAGCCCUGGCCAAAAAUAGAACAAAGAAGAAUUCGCUCCUCGCGGCGAGCCCUGGAGGCGCGGCCGCGGAGGGAUUUCUUAAAGGGGUUUGUCGUGGUUCAAGUCGAGACAGCGAGCACAGCUGGUCUGGCUCGGAGCCGUCGUUCGGCAGCAGCGAGCACGCCAAACAAAGCUGCUUCUCAGCUCAUUCAAGAAUUGUUCUUUGCUCUUUGCCGGUUUGCCUAAAUUUACGUGAAUUGUUUGUCUGCUUUCCAGAAUGUGACUGCUUUGUAGAAGCGAGUGCCGACGCCGACUUGCAGCAUUCCCUGCAUUCCGCGCGCACGAUUCCUUCAACUCGUCUAAUUUGGACCUGUUGCGAAACAACAGCUGCGGCUCGACGAGCUGGAUACGGACAAGCUUCUAAAUCUUCUGCGCUCUGGCGAGGUUGGCUGCAUCGACGACCGCGCAUCGUCAGCGCAGUUGCCGACGCCAAGGUUUGGCUUUUCCUCGGGAAAUGUGGUCAGCUGGAGCCUAGUGGUGGCAUCAGCGGCCGCACCGUCAAGUAGUUGGCCCAAGAAGGACAGUCUCGACCUCCGGAUGCGUCGAUUUCUGUGGCAGACCCAAAUUUGAGAAGGUCCACUCGCAGGAACAACCCUUGCCAAGCUGCGCUGUCGCAGCAUCAUGGCGGAGACUGUCGAGACGACGCGGACGAGCUGCACAGGCCGAGCACCAGAUUCUGUGACUAGAAGGCGCCGCUGGGGGACUGGGCGUCAGCGGCGCCGAUGUGAUGGCCUCGACUUGGCGUCCACAUGGCCCUGAAGUCAAGGUUGCCCUACGCCUGCUCGAGCGAACAACCUGGCGGCACGGGCCAAGAACCUGUGCCUCCGAGAUUCGAGCGUAGAGGCGCCGCCCAGCGACAGUUGUUGAAGAGACUCGACGCCGCCGUUUCCGCAACGCUGUGAACGUGGCGCCGAAAACUUGCGCUGAAUGCUGAGAAUCCUGCGUGCCAUCAAGCGGUCGCUGUAUUCAGUUAAAAACCCUGUAAUAAUUUCGUUUCUUUGCUAAUAAAAUUCAU